rnacentral:rRNA from 1 species
GGUUGUCGUCAGCUCGUGUCGUGAGAUGUUGGGUUAAGUCCCGCAACGAGCGCAACCCUUAUUGUUAGUUGCUACCAUUUAGUUGAGUACUCUAGCGAGACUGCCCGGGUUAACCGGGAGGAAGGUGGGGAUGACGUCAAAUCAUCAUGCCCCUUAUGUCUAGGGCUACACACGUGCUACAAUGGCCGGUACAACGAGAUGCAAUACCGUGAGGUGGAGCAAAACUAUAAAACCGGUCUCAGUUCGGAUUGUAGGCUGAAACUCGCCUACAUGAAGCUGGAGUUACUAGUAAUCGCGAAUCAGCAUGUCGCGGUGAAUACGUUCCCGGGCCUUGUACACACCGCCCGUCACACCAUGAGAGUUGGCAAUACCCAAAGUUGGUGAUCUAACCCGUAAGGGAGGAAGCCACCUAAGGUAGGGUCAGCGAUUGGGGUGAAGUCGUAACAAGGUAGCCGUAGGAGAACCUGCGGCUGGAUCACCUC